ensembl:lncRNA
GGAAAAAAUUACAAGUGUGAAAACGACCUUAGUCUGCACUUCAUUAUUCCCAGGCCUGGACACUCCCACACUUCCACUUACAGAGCGUCUGAUAUCUCACGCCUUUUCUACACUUUUCUGGGCAGGAGCUUCAGAAUCACGAAGGACUGCUCGGAUUAGCUGCAGCAGUGUAAACCUGAAAAACCUGUCAACACUGUGACGCACUGGGUUUUCCACAGCAAGACAUAGUUACUGUGACUGACGGGGACUACGUCUUUGAUGGGAUCAGCAGAUUAAAGACAGUAAGAGGCAGCGAGAGCACAAGCCCGCGGAGUGCCGAGACCGAGACGAGCGGAGCGCCGAGAGGAAACGACCGAGAGAAGACACGAGCCCUCGCAGGACCGAGGACAAGUCCAGAGUCCGGG